GAAGGUGGCCUGUGAGGGUUGCUGGAGGUAUCAGAAGUGCGAAUGCUGACAUAAGUAACGAUAAAGCGGGUGAAAAGCCCGCUCGCCGGAAGACCAAGGGUUCCUGUCCAACGUUAAUCGGGGCAGGGUGAGUCGACCCCUAAGGCGAGGCCGAAAGGCGUAGUCGAUGGGAAACGGGUUAAUAUUCCCGUACUUGGUGUUACUGCGAAGGGGGGACGGAGAAGGCUAUGUUGGCCGGGCGACGGUUGUCCCGGUUUAAGCGUGUAGGUGUGUGUUCCAGGUAAAUCCGGUUCACUUUAACACUGAGGCGUGAUGACGAGGCACUACGGUGCUGAAGCAACAAAUGCCCUGCUUCCAGGAAAAGCCUCUAAGCAUCAGGUAACAUCAAAUCGUACCCCAAACCGACACAGGUGGUCAGGUAGAGAAUACCAAGGCGCUUGAGAGAACUCGGGUGAAGGAACUAGGCAAAAUGGUGCCGUAACUUCGGGAGAAGGCACGCUGACACGUAGGUGAAGUGAUUUACUCACGGAGCUGAAGUCAGUCGAAGAUACCAGCUGGCUGCAACUGUUUAUUAAAAACACAGCACUGUGCAAACACGAAAGUGGACGUAUACGGUGUGACGCCUGCCCGGUGCCGGAAGGUUAAUUGAUGGGGUCAGCGCAAGCGAAGCUCCUGAUCGAAGCCCCGGUAAACGGCGGCCGUAACUAUAACGGUCCUAAGGUAGCGAAAUUCCUUGUCGGGUAAGUUCCGACCUGCACGAAUGGCGUAAUGAUGGCCAGGCUGUCUCCACCCGAGACUCAGUGAAAUUGAACUCGCUGUGAAGAUGCAGUGUACCCGCGGCAAGACGGAAAGACCCCGUGAACCUUUACUAUAGCUUGACACUGAACAUUGAGCCUUGAUGUGUAGGAUAGGUGGGAGGCUUUGAAGUGUGGACGCCAGUCUGCAUGGAGCCGACCUUGAAAUACCACCCUUUAAUGUUUGAUGUUCUAACGUGGACCCGUAAUCCGGGUUGCGGACAGUGUCUGGUGGGUAGUUUGACUGGGGCGGUCUCCUCCUAAAGAGUAACGGAGGAGCACGAAGGUUGGCUAAUCCUGGUCGGACAUCAGGAGGUUAGUGCAAUGGCAUAAGCCAGCUUGACUGCGAGCGUGACGGCGCGAGCAGGUGCGAAAGCAGGUCAUAGUGAUCCGGUGGUUCUGAAUGGAAGGGCCAUCGCUCAACGGAUAAAAGGUACUCCGGGGAUAACAGGCUGAUACCGCCCAAGAGUUCAUAUCGACGGCGGUGUUUGGCACCUCGAUGUCGGCUCAUCACAUCCUGGGGCUGAAGUAGGUCCCAAGGGUAUGGCUGUUCGCCAUUUAAAGUGGUACGCGAGCUGGGUUUAGAACGUCGUGAGACAGUUCGGUCCCUAUCUGCCGUGGGCGCUGGAGAACUGAGGGGGGCUGCUCCUAGUACGAGAGGACCGGAGUGGACGCAUCACUGGUGUUCGGGUUGUCAUGCCAAUGGCACUGCCCGGUAGCUAAAUGCGGAAGAGAUAAGUGCUGAAAGCAUCUAAGCACGAAACUUGCCCCGAGAUGAGUUCUCCCUGAGACUUUAAGUCUCCUGAAGGAACGUUGAAGACGACGACGUUGAUAGGCCGGGUGUGUAAGCGCAGCGAUGCGUUGAGCUAACCGGUACUAAUGAACCGUGAGGCUUAACCUUACAACGCCGAAG
rnacentral:rRNA from 1 species